AACGAACGCUGGCGGCAUGCCUAACACAUGCAAGUCGAACGAGACCUUCGGGUCUAGUGGCGCACGGGUGCGUAACGCGUGGGAACCUGCCCUUACGUUCGGAAUAACUCCCCGAAAGGGGUGCUAAUACCGGAUAAUAUCUUCGGACCAAAGAUGUAUCGCCUUUGGAUGGUCCCGCGUUGGAUUAGCUCGUUGGUAGUGUAAAAGCCUACCAAGGCGACGAUCCAUAGCUGGUCUGAGAGGAUGAUCAGCGACACUGGGACGGAGACACGGCCCAGAAUCCUGGGGGAGGAGGCAGUGGGGAAUAUUGGAAAGUGGGGGAAAGGCUGAUGCAGCAAUGCCGCGUGAGUGAUGAAGGCCGUAGGGUAGUAAAGCUCUUUUACACGGGAUGAUCAUGACAGUACCGGGAGAAUAAGCUCCGGCUAACUACGUG
rnacentral:rRNA from 1 species